AUUGAACGCUGGCGGCAGGCCUAACACAUGCAAGUCGAGCGGAGCGGCGGACGGGUGCGUAAUGCCUAGGAAUCUGCCUGGUACUGGGGGAUAACGUCCGGAAAUGGGCGCUAAUACUGCAUACUCUCAGAUGAGCCUAGGUCGGAUUAGCCAGUUGGUGGGGUAAAGGCCUACCAAGGCCACGAUCCAUAACUGGUCUGAGAGGAUGAUCAGUCACACUGGAACUGAGACACGGUCCAGAUUCCUACGGGAGGCAGCAUUGGGGAAUAUUGGACAAUGGGCGAAAGCCUGAUGCAGCCAUGCCGCGUGUAUGAAGAAGGUCUUCGGGUUGUAAAGCACUUUAAGUUGGGAGGCGUUACCAACAGAAUAAGCACCGGCUAACUUCGUGCCAGCAGCCGCGGUAAUUC
rnacentral:rRNA from 1 species